UGAAGUCCCUUGUUUACUGUAUUUGUAAUUAGCCACCAAGAACUUGAGUAACCGGUUUCCGAGGAGAACAUAUAUCCUGAAUCAGUUCCUGGACAUUUGUUUGAGGUCUUGUAAGGGAAACUGAAGGGAAUUGUGUAUUGAACAGGAUGGCUUAGACCUGCUCAACUUCUGAGAAUUGAGAUUGUGAGACUCCCAGUUCUAGCCAGAUAUCACCACUUCAAAGACAUAACAAAAAGGCAAAGUGGGCAAUCCAGAUGUAUCACUUGACUUUCUGACUACUGGAAGAAUUUCCCUUCAUUAUUGCACACCAGGGGUAUCCCACAGGCCAUCCUCGAUAAUGGCUUGGUUUCAUCAUUAAAAUUGUUCUCUUUGAGUCAAGAUAAUAUAGUUCCCAAGAGCUAUGUCAUACCAUCAGAAAAAAGAUAAACUUGGGCCAAACAUGAUGAGUUUCUCCUCAUGAAGCUUUCUCCUCACCAACUCUUCAAAGAUCCAGUUGAUACAAAAUGCACAUGCUAAAAUAUGAUUCCCCAGUCCUGUCCAAGCUGAUGUGGUCUUCUCCAAGCCCCCAGUCCUGACCAAGCUGAAUCUCCUUUGUCACUCAUGGGGCAACAGGGACUUACCUGCCAGUGCAGGAGAAAGGAGAGAUCCUUUAGAACAGGAGCUAAGAUGCCAGGAGCUCACGCAAAAUGCUUGAAGAAAGGGGCUUAGCCAGAAACCGAACUGGGAGUUGAUGCCCAGUUUAGGAAGAGUUCAAAUCGAGGAGUCAGAAGCAGCAAAUUCUACAUCAGAUCCACAAAUUCUUAACUAGAAGAAUAAAAACAAGUCAAAUCAAGUUGGGCUCAAAAGGAAUAUAGGGGCAGAAGAGGUGAUGUGCAGAUGGGUGUGCCUGGCCAAAUGGUGGGGGUAGGCACAGGCAGCACACACCAUUGAUUUCUUUGCUUCCUUUUUUAAAGAUUUUAUUUUUAAGAGCAGUUUCAGGUUCAAAGCAAAGUUAGAAGUACCAAGAUUUUUUCCAUAUACCCCUGUCCCUACAUAUGCAUAGCCCCCUCAUUAUCAAAAUCCCCUAUCAGAGUGUAAUAAAUGACAAUGAACCUACGUUGGACGCAUCAUAAUCACGUAAAGUCCUGGUGUACAUUAGCUUUCACUCUUGGUGUUGUACAUUCUAUGAAUUCGGACAAAUGUGUAAUGGCAUGUGUCCACUGUUAUGGUAUCAUACAGAGCACUUUCACUGCCACAAAAAUUUUCUGCUCUCUGCCUAUAGUUGGGGAUCAGAAACCAAUACCCCAAAAUAUGGCAUUUUGACAUGCUGAACUGAAGAAGCUUUAAUGUCUCUCUGACCUUCCUUCUUCUGCCCCACCUUCUUUCCCAAAACCUAGGAUUAUCUUGUUCCCUUAUCUGCUUAAAGUCCGAACCUGCCAAAGAAGAAAACAAUGACCUCUGCACCCUUCCCUGAGUUUCCAUUAACUGAACCUAGAUUCCAGGAAGAAAGAUUGAAGUCUGUCAACACACCUGGACAGACUUUUAUCACAAACCAUUGUCCACUCUGCUAACCCAACAGAUUUUGUCCCAGACAACUGUAUUCUCUUCAAGCCCAUUGAAUUCUCCCUAGGAAUCAUGCAUUGCCCCUCAACAGAAUUCCUCUUGUCCCUACUCACAUAGUUUGCUUUGCCGGGAUCCUAAGAUUUCUUGGAAAACCUUAGGACCAGGAGGUAUUCUUGUGGACUCAUUCUGUUUUUCUGUAACCUCAAGAUGGUGUAUAAGCUUCUGCCCCCUAAUCGGGGGUUGGAGUAAUCACUGUGUCUCCUGUGUGAAAGUAAACACAUUUGUAUGCCCUUUUCCCAAUUAAUCUACCUUCUGUGAGUUGAUUUUUUAGCGAAACUUCAGAGGGCUCUUUGACUCCUACACUAUUUAUCCCUCCCCCUCCCUUCAGCCCCUAACAACCACUGAUCUUCUUACUGCCUCCACAGUUUUACCUUUUCCAGAAGGUCAUAUAGUUGAAAUAUUACAGUCCGUUACCUUUUCAGAUUAGCUUCUGUCACUUAGUAAUAUAUAUUUAAGAUUCCUCCAUGUCUUUUCAUGGCUUGAUAGUUCAUUUCUUUUCAGUAUUAAAUGAUAUUCCAUUGUUUGAUGUACCACAAUUUAUCCCUUACCUACUGAAGGAAUACCUGGUUGUUUCCAAGAUUUACCUGGCCACCUAUGGAAUACUGUAGUUUCCAAAACUGGCCAUAAGAUAUUUCCUACUAUUCUUGCAUAUUGCAGUUGCAUAAGAAUUGCGUCCUAAGAUUUUCCAGAAAUUUGGCACUUCUCCAUCAAGACAUGGAUUCUACUUCCUCUUCCCUUAAGUCUAGGCAGAUUUGUGACUGGUAACCACAGAGCAUGGUAGAAAUUACACGGAGUGAUUUCUGAGGUUAUAAAUGAUGAAGCUCAUCUACCUCACAGGAACAUAGGCAUUGAGUCCUGAGCCACCAAGCAAGUGUCCAACUACUCUGAAACUGCCAUGUGUUAAGUGAAAAGAUAGCAAGGGGAAGCACUGAAGCUGCAUCGUGAGCGAGAGAUGCCCAGCCACCAGGCAGCUGCUCCACCCACCUCACCCUCAGCCUACUUUCCUCCACCCUCAACCUUGUACUUUUGUUGCUCCAACCACUGUCUGGUUACAAUCAGAGGAGAGAUUCCAAGACAGUAGCACCCAGCUAAACCCUUCCUGAAUUCGCAACUCACAAAAGUUAUAAAAGACAAUAAAAUGACUGUUCUUU
rnacentral:lncRNA from 1 species